AUUGAACGCUGGCGGCAGGCCUAACACAUGCAAGUCGAACGAGUGGCGGACGGGUGAGUAAUGUCUGGGAAACUGCCUGACGGAGGGGGAUAACUAGUGGAACCGGUAGCUAAUACCGCAUACCAUCCGAUGCGGCCAGAUUGGAUUAGCUUGUUGGUGGGGUAACGGCUCACCAAGGCGACGAUGCCUAGCUGGGCUGAGAGGCUGACCAGCCACACUGGAACUGAGACACGGUCCAUACUCCUACGGGAGGCAGCAGUGGGGAAUAUUGCACAAUGGGCGAAAGCCUGAUGCAGCCAUGCCGCGUGUGUGAAGAAGGCCUUCGGGUUGUAAAGUACUUUCAGCGGGGAGGCGUUACCCGCAGAAGAAGCACCGGCUAACUCCGUGCCAGCAGCCGCGGUAAUUC
rnacentral:rRNA from 1 species